rnacentral:lncRNA from 1 species
UUUUUGUUUUUUUGUUUGAAAAUGUUUUUAUUUUAAUGGUUUCAGUUUUUAUUUAGAUUUAGGGGGUGUUUAGGUCCUUGUUUAUUUGUAGGUUUUUCUUGUAAAAUUACUUUACGUUUCUUUAUUUAACUCUAUUCAUACAAAAUCGGGACCUGAUAAAAUAAUAAAAUAAAGUUGUUGUUUUUUUGUUUUGUUUUUUCUACAAGAAUAAGUUGAUUGUUCUUGGAGGGUCAACUAUUUGGGUAAUAUUUUAAACCAACUAAAUGGCUCUGUUCUCCAAAUCUCUUUCAGUUCAGCACAGCAUUUUAGCUUAUUUUGUUUAGUAUUGUUGUAUUAUAUUAACUCUUUGUUUGUCUCUGGAUCUUUUCUUAGAGUCAUAAUUUCUGCUCACAAUUAGGAUAGUCUAGUUAAUUAAGAGGCUAUUUAAGGAAUUGUUUUUUCUUUUCUUUUCUUUAGCCUAAUGAAUUGUGUCACAGCCAUCCUAUUAAUCUGAGAGUCCCUACUACAACGGUAUGUGCUGUGUCCUCAUUUUGGGGGACCCAAAGGGAUACCACACUACCAUAUUUCUGAGAGACAAACACAGUUUGAGAGAAUAAGAUAGUGAAUAGAAACUUAAACAGGUUUUAAAAAAGAGGAAAAUAAACUGUCUAUGCAGAUGUGAAUGCAUGGAUGUGAUAAAGUUGCCAAAAAGAACAAAAAAGUGGCCUAUUUGUGAGAAUUAUCCACACUGCCUAUCCCCUGUGUGCCUUGAAACAAUGCAAAUGUGAAUUGCGUUUAAAAUCUUCCCAACAGCACCCACUAGGUCUAGCAGACUGUCUGUUCCUGUGUGCGAUAGUUCACUAUCGGACGCUGCUCCAAUGCCCUGGAUCACAGCGUCUGUCUCCUCGCAGGACCCGUCCGCUUUACCCACAGUUCCCCGCGCUCAGACAAGAUGGAGGAACGCAGCAGCUGCAGGAGAACAAUGUUUGGACUCUGAACAUUAAAAGAAACGAUCGAGGGGGGAAUUACACACAGAGAGAGCCAACGGUGGACAUGCACUGGAUGAGUGAGGUGGCCUUGCAUUGAAGCAGACCCUAUCGCCCUCUGUUCCAGCAUCAGCAUCAGUGUGAUAACACUCUGAGCCUUGCCCCUUCAACAUGAGCCUGAUCCAGGACAAAUUUGGCAAUGAGUUCCUCCGCUCCAACGGUGGCAUGGAGCCAGGCUUCGGUCCGGGCAUGCUCAUGUUCAGCCACCUGCCCCCGAUUUAAUGGGUAGUCAGAGUGUC